UGUUUAAAACUUUAUUCAUUUAUAUUGCUAAAACUAGCUUGGCUGAUGAAACAAUCUGAUAGUGACAUGUGAUGUGUCAUAUAUAUCUCAUGUUAAUGUGUAAGGACAAGCUUUUAACGGUAGAAAUGGAUGAAACUUUUAAUG
rnacentral:pre_miRNA from 1 species